rnacentral:rRNA from 1 species
GAUGAACGCUGGCGGCGUGCCUAAUACAUGCAAGUCGAGCGAACAGACGAGGAGCUUGCUCCUGUGACGUUAGCGGCGGACGGGUGAGUAACACGUGGAUAACCUACCUAUAAGACUGGGAUAACUUCGGGAAACCGGAGCUAAUACCGGAUAAUAUAUUGAACCGCAUGGUUCAAUAGUGAAAGACGGUUUUGCUGUCACUUAUAGAUGGAUCCGCGCCGCAUUAGCUAGUUGGUAAGGUAACGGCUUACCAAGGCGACGAUGCGUAGCCGACCUGAGAGGGUGAUCGGCCACACUGGAACUGAGACACGGUCCAGACUCCUACGGGAGGCAGCAGUAGGGAAUCUUCCGCAAUGGGCGAAAGCCUGACGGAGCAACGCCGCGUGAGUGAUGAAGGUCUUCGGAUCGUAAAACUCUGUUAUUAGGGAAGAACAAAUGUGUAAGUAACUAUGCACGUCUUGACGGUACCUAAUCAGAAAGCCACGGCUAACUACGUG